CGGCGGUUCUGGAACCACACCUGGCCCAAGACGGAAGGAGAGACGGUGAAGCAGGGGGAGAAAGAAGAAAAUGGGAAAGAAAAGCACCGGUUAGGGUGGCCCAAGUUCUACUUCGGCUUGUUUUAACACCCUCCUCCCCAUGCGCUGUGAUCACCCCCGCGCGCACAUCCACCAAGUCUACCGCUUCUUAUUGCUGUGCAUUUUCGGAGAAACUUUCUUAGGGGGAGUGAGCACGCCAGGGACAUGAAGGCUUGCGGCAGAGUUUAAAAAGCCGCAGGUCCCAGAAAGACCCGAAAAGGGAAGGCCUUAUUUUGGUGGGCCUCUGUUCAGUCGGCUUCUUGAGCAAGCCCCGAGCUCGCCAUUCACCCCUAAGCCUAAGUUCUAAAGUUAAACUCUAAUUGGUAGAAGGAAAAGGGAUCCUCUCUGGGUUUGCUCCGCUGCCCAUCCCCGGCCUUUGAGCCUGGAAGAGCGUGCGAUGGUGCGCACCGCUUCUCGGUCGGGGGCUCACCCAGAGAGGCGCUGUGGCCAACUCGUGAGCGCACCUGUGUUUAACAGGUUGGAGUAAGUCAUGGUUCUUGACCUUCAUGAAGUCACAGACCCUUUGCAAAUCUGAUGCAAGUCACAGUUUCCGGGAAAAUGAACCUAUAUGCCAUGGGGCCAGGUUAAAAGCACUUGAGUUAGGAGGCAUUUUUUUGGGGGGCGGGAGGGGAGAAGGAAAAACUUAUAAUACGGGAGCAAAGUCUGCACACCUUCCACCACAGGCACUUCCUGUCCCCGAAAUUGCAUCGCUCAUCCACGUCCCAAGGCCCCCCAUGUCUCUGCUCGGGUGGGAAACACUUCGCAACUGUAAAUAAAAUGCCAAGAGCGUGCGCUCUAAGCCUCUCUCGAACGCACAGCCACACCAAAUCCAGUAUUUCUGAUCGGCCAUGGGGCCCUAGGUCCUUCUCACUCGAGGCUCCAGGACUUCGAAUUUCACCAGCCGCCCCUCACCCCACACCUCCCCGGACCAGUGCGGCGGAGCGGGGUCGGUUUCCAGGCGCGCGUACCUGGACUCGCGCCUCUGUGAGGUCGAUCUUCAGGGCCAGCUCCUCCCGAGUGUAGAUGUCGGGGUAGUGAGUCUCCGCGAAGACCCUUUCCAGCUCUUUGAGCUGGGCACUGGUGAAAGUGGUGCGGAUGCGCCGCUGCUUGCGCUUCUCGUUGAGGCCGCCGUGGUCCGUGAAGAGUUUGUAAGGAACUAGAGUAUGACAGAGGAGACAGAAAGUGAGCAAAUCAGCCGGCAGCUCGCCGGCCGUGGAGCUAGAAUGUGAGGACUCCAAGGUCAGGUCAUACGGCAGCCGCUACCUACACCCGCGCGAGAGAGUUGCCGAGAGAAGCUGCGGGAAGAAACCGAGGAAAUUUGUUAUCUGCGGAAACCUGGGCUCAAACUUCGGGCUUGGCGGAGUCCUUUCUGGCACAAGCGCCUUUGGGUGGAUUGAAACAGCGCGAUGUGACGGACUUGAGAUAGUGCUUUCAGCAGGAAAAAACCAGAGAGGAAAAAAAUCCAAAAACAUCAGUCGGAAUAUCAGGGAGCCAGGAAAGAAGUUACCAAACAGUCCCACUUUGGGAACUUUUCAAUUCUCAGAAAGUUGACCCGGCUCAAAAGUUGGGGGAAAGAGCUGCAAAAAAAUAAUAAUAAAUUAAAGAAAUAAUCAUAAAAAUGACCAGCCAAAGAGGUGUGAGCCGCUGUCGGUUCUUAAAAAAAGAGACACUGCCAGUAAUGAGCUUUACUCUUUGUUAUUUAAUUAUUUUCUAAGCUUUACGUCUCAUCGCAAAGUAAAUAAAUUAUGCCUAUCAUUUUGGCAGCUUAAGAUAAUUUUGUUGGCGGUUCGGGUGUGACUAGGAUAGUGUAACCCUGUAAGUGAAUUACCCCUCCCUGCAAUCGCUUCUAACGUGAUAAAUUCUUUCAUUUGUGUAAGCAAAUUUCGUUUGGUAAAUACUAAACACAUUUCCAUUUUCAAAUGCAAUCAAGGCUUCCUAUAUACGGGCGGAAAGGCGGCUUCCUCCGCUGAGAAAGCUGAAGGUCCUUACCUGCGGCGUACGGACUGCUCUGGUGGUCCCUGAGGGUGCCCAGGCUGCAGGAUCCCGGCGUGAGGGAAGGGCAGCCGGACGUGGCCCCAAAAGUGGUCCUUAUCGGGUUAUACUGGAAGCCACUGGCCUGGCUGCAGGAACUGAAGUCAGCAUAGGCUGAAGCCAGGCUCGAGGUGUCCAUCCCAGCCAUACAGGACUCGUAGGCAGAGGAAUUGAGGGAGAAGAAACCUUGAUGUCAUAGAAAACCUGUUUUGUAAGAGUGUUACACGCUCAAUUUAACAACAAGCCUACCCCCCGAAGUGCAUGAAAUGUUAUAAAGGACUGGGACAUUGGCAAGACUCAGGCGCCCUGUAACAUAGAGUGUAUUUUCAAGUGAAGAUACCGAGAGCCCAGUAUCACAGAGGAAGAAAGUACUGGUGGUGACACAGCAGGUAUUUUAGAAGUGGGGGCAGCUAUUUUAGACAGCUCUUUCCUAUGUUGUUCCUGUCACACCAUGAAGAUGCCGAUUUCGUCCACCCACAAGAAAGCUGCCUUGGUCCUGGUACUCAAGGGCUCUAUGUUGCCUCCAUCAUAUCCAGAAUUAACUCCAAUAACAUGUUCUUGCAUUCUUCGUCAGCACAGCAAGGGAGCUAACUGAAAGGCAUGUCGGGAACACUGGAAUCAUUCAAUGUCUUAAACUACUCAGCCUUGAAAUACAUAUAAAAAUGAGUUAGAAUUCAAAAACUUUAAAAAUAUUUCUUUUUCUGGGCUUUCGAAAGACCCUACUGGUGCUGCUGUUUGUUUGUCUCAUUUUGUUUUCUUUAGGAGGUUUGUGGGGUUUGCCAGUAAGGUGCUGCAGCAUCAUGCAUUUUAAUGUGUAUUUCAGCUGAUUCAGAAUUUAGGACAAAUGCAAUCCAGUACUCAGGGACAGGCACCACAUGUCCUAGACCUUAGGAGCCAGAAGACAAUAAAAUGCUCACAGUGAUGCAUGUUUGUAGUAUUUCCCCUGUUAGAUAUAAUGCAUAAUAUUUAUUUUCUUUUAAAACACACACUUCUUUUCUUCUCUCUCUCUCUCUUUUUCUCUCUCCCUCUCUCUCUCCCUCUC
rnacentral:lncRNA from 10 species